AUAAUGUUUCCAAGAGAAUGUGGAAUUUCUCCACUAAGCUGAUUGUCUUCCAAGUGUAGAGUCUCCAGGAUACUCAGUGAGCUCAAAUCUGGGAUAGAUCCCGUCAAAUUAUUAUCCGCAAGCCAUAUGUGAUUCAAUGCUGUCAAUCUGGCAAUGCUAGGUGAAAUUGAUCCAGAAAGACCCAUGCUUGUUAGGUUUAAAGAAGUAACACGAAUUCGU
rnacentral:misc_RNA from 1 species